rnacentral:rRNA from 1 species
UACGUAGGGGGCAAGCGUUGUCCGGAUUUAUUGGGCGUAAAGAGCGUGUAGGCGGCUGGGUAGGUCCGUUGUGAAAACUCGAGCUCAACCUCGAGACGCCGAUGGAAACCCUCCAGCUAGAGUCCGGAAGAGGAGAGUGGAAUUCCUGGUGUAGCGGUGAAAUGCGUAGAGAUCAUGAGGAAGACCAGUGGCGAAGGCGGGUCUCUGGACAGUUCCUGACGCUGAGGAGCGAAAGUGUGGGGAGCGAACAGG